rnacentral:rRNA from 1 species
CCCCAGACUCCUACGGGAGGCAGCAGUGAGGAAUAUUGGUCAAUGGGCUUACGCCUGAACCAGCCAAGUCGCGUGAGGGAAGACUGCCCUAUGGGUUGUAAACCUCUUUUGUCAGGGAGCAACGCCGGCUACGUGUAGCCGGACUGAGAGUACCUGAAGAAAAAGCAUCGGCUAACUCCGUGCCAGCAGCCGCGGUAAUACGGAGGAUGCGAGCGUUAUCCGGAUUUACUGGGUUUAAAGGGUGCGUAGGGGGUUCGUAAAGAGAGUGGAAAAUUGGGGGGGCCCACCCCCUCCCCGCCAUUGAAACUGGCGCUCUUGGGUGGAAGAGAAGUAUGCGGAAUGCGUGGUGUAGCGGUGAAAUGCAUAGAUAUCACGCAGAACCCCGAUUGCGAAGGCAGCGUACCGGCGCCCAACUGACGCUCAUGCACGAAAGCGUGGGUAUCGAACAGGAUUAGAUACCCUAGUA